CUCAAAAAGGAAGAGAAACUUCCAGCUCGCCUUGAAAGACUAGCUCUUGCCGUAAAUGCUUUGCAUAAAUCUACGCAAAGGCCGGGUCACCGAGGCUGGAUGCUGGUGACAGAAACAGUGUUUCACUGCGGUGCUUCUUUCUGAACAGCUGGGUUCAUUAAUUAAUUCAUUCAUUUAUUUAUUCACUGCAAACUAGCCGCUAGCGUUAGGUAUUAACUUGUCACGCACGUUGCUUUUUUUUGUUUCUCCGUACAGGUGACUGCAGCCCAUGGAUUGUGUCAUUUGCUUGGCUACCAGCACAACACAAAAUCAGAGUGGCGACAGAUGUACCAGAAGGAGAAGGAAAUCCUGGAGGAACUGAGCAGACUCA